UGGGAGUUGAAGGCGCACAGCUCAAUUUGAAAUCUGACUUCUUUGGGAGUUUGAAUUGUAAUUUGUAGAAGGAAUUUCGGAUUUGAUAGUGGUCCAAGUUCGUUGGAAUACGACGUCAAAGAGGGUGAAAAUCCCGUAUUUUGGCUAAACUAUCAGUCCAUGUGAAAUCCUUUCGACGAGUCGAGUUGUUUGGGAAUGCAGCUCAAAGUGGGUGGUAAAUUUCAUCUAAAGCUAAAUAUCAGCCAGAGACCGAUAGCGCACAAGUAGAGUGAUCGAAAGAUGAAAAGCACUUUGAAAAGAGAGUAAAACAGCACGUGAAAUUGUUGAAAGGGAAGCGCUUGCAACCAGACUUGCUUGCAGUAUUCAGCCUCUCGAAAGGGUGGUGUAUUUGCUGUCCGCAGGCCAACACCGGUUUUAACGGUCGGAUAAAAGUCCAAGAAAAGUAGCUUCGCUUCGGUGAAGUGUUAUAGCCUAGGCAUAAUGCGACCAGUUGAGACCGAGGAACGCGCGUUUGCGAGGAUGUUGGCAUAAUGGUUGUCUGCGACCCGUCUUGAAACACGGACCAAGGAGUCGACCAAUUUGGCGAGAAUUAGGGCAUAAAACCCUUAUUCGUAAUGAAAGUGAACGUAGGUGGGAGCUUCGGCGCACCAUCGACCGAUCUAAGUUCGCGAGGAUUUGAGUAAGAGUCUCAUUGGUCGGACCCGAAAGGUAAGGCUUUUUUAACAAUGUGGAUUGAAUUCGUGCUAACGUAUCUUACAGAAGGUGAACUAUUCCUGAAUAGGGUGAAGUCAGAGGAAACUCUGAUGGAGGCUCGCAGCGGUUCUGACGUGCAAAUCGAUCGUCAAAUCUGGGAAUAGGGGCGAAAGACUAAUCGAACCUUCUAGUAGCUGGUUCCUGUCGAAGUUUCCCUCAGGAUAGCAGUAACGAUAAACAGUCUCAUGAGGUAGAGCAACGAUUAGAGGAAUGGGGAGUGUAACACUCUUCACCUAUUCUCGAACUUCGAAUACGUGAGAAGUCCUUGUUACUUAAUUGAACGUGGACAUUGGAUUACUAUUUGCCCC
rnacentral:rRNA from 1 species